rnacentral:rRNA from 1 species
GAUGAACGCUGGCGGCGUGCCUAAUACAUGCAAGUCGAGCGAACAGACGAGGAGCUUGCUCCUUUGACGUUAGCGGCGGACGGGUGAGUAACACGUGGGUAACCUACCUAUAAGACUGGGAUAACUUCGGGAAACCGGAGCUAAUACCGGAUAAUAUUUCGAACCGCAUGGUUCGAUAGUGAAAGAUGGCUUUGCUAUCACUUAUAGAUGGACCUGCGCCGUAUUAGCUAGUUGGUAAGGUAACGGCUUACCACGGCAACGAUGCGUAGACGACCUGAGAGGGUGAUCGGCCACACUGGAAGUGAGACACGGUCCAGACUCCUACGGGAGGCAGCAGUAGGGAAUCUUCCGCAAUGGGCGAAAGCCUGACGGAGCAACGCCGCGUGAGUGAUGAAGGUCUUCGGAUCGUAAAACUCUGUUAUUAGGGAAGAACAAACGUGUAAGUAACUGUGCACGUCUUGACGGUACCUAAUCAGAAAGCCACGGCUAACUACGUG